GCCCGCGUAGCUCAAUGGUCAGAGCGUUGGACUUUUACUCCCUCUUGAGGGUUGUACGGGUAUCCAAAGGCUGCGAGUUCGAGUCUCGCCGUGGGCG